AGUGAACGCUGGCGGUAGGCCUAACACAUGCAAGUCGAACGGCAGCACAGUAAGAGCUUGCUCUUACGGGUGGCGAGUGGCGGACGGGUGAGGAAUACAUCGGAAUCUACUUUUUCGUGGGGGAUAACGUAGGGAAACGUACGCUAAUACCGCAUACGACCUACGGGUGAAAGCAGGGGAUCUUCGGACCUUGCGCGAUUGAAUGAGCCGAUGUCGGAUUAGCUAGUUGGCGGGGUAAAGGCCCACCAAGGCGACGAUCCGUAGCUGGUCUGAGAGGAUGAUUAGCCACACUGUCACUGAGACACGGUCCAGACUCCUACGGGAGGCAGCAGUGGGGAAUAUUGGACAAUGGGCGCAAGCCUGAUCCAGCCAUACCGCGUGGGUGAAGAAGGCCUUCGGGUUGUAAAGCCCUUUUGUUGGGAAAGAAAAGCAGCAGGUUAAUACCCCGCUGUUCUGACGGUACCCAAAGAAUAAGCACCGGCUAACUUCGUG
rnacentral:rRNA from 1 species